rnacentral:rRNA from 1 species
GUGAGGAAUAUUGCGCAAUGGGGGAAACCCUGACGCAGCGAUGCCGCGUGGGUGAAGAAGGCCUUCGGGUCGUAAAGCCCUGUCAAGCGGGAAGAACAGCCCUGGGGCUAAUAUCCUCAGGGUGUGACGGUACCGCUGAAGGAAGCACCGGCUAACUCCGUGCCAGCAGCCGCGGUAAGACGGAGGGUGCGAGCGUUAUUCGGAAUUAUUGGGCGUAAAGGGCGCGUAGGCGGCCGGUCAAGUCAGAUGUGAAAGCCCAGGGCUUAACCCUGGAAGUGCAUUUGAAACUGGUCGGCUUGAGUUCGGGAGAGGAAAGCGGAAUUCCGGGUGUAGAGGUGAAAUUCGUAGAUAUCCGGAGGAACACCGGUGGCGAAGGCGGCUUUCUGGACCGAAACUGACGCUGAGGCGCGAAAGCGUGGGGAGCAAACAGGAUUAGAUACCCUUGUAGUCC